UAAGUGGAAAAGGAUGUGGGGUUGCACAGACAACUAGGAUGUUAGCUCAGAAGCAGCUAUCAUUCAAAGAGUGCGUAAUAGCUCACUAGUCGAGUGACCCUGCGCCGAAAAUGUACCGGGGCUAAACAUAUUACCGAAGCUUUGGAUUGAUAUUUUAUCAAUGGUAGGAGAGCGUUCUUAACCGCGAUGAAGGUAUACCGUGAGGAGUGCUGGAGCGUUAAGAAGUGAGAAUGCCGGUAUGAGUAGCGCAAGAUAAGUGAGAAUCUUAUCCACCGUAAGACUAAGGUUUCCAGGGGAAGGCUCGUCCGCCCUGGGUUAGUCGGGACCUAAGGCGAGGCCGAAAGGCGUAGUCGAUGGACAACUGGUUGAUAUUCCAGUACUAGAUAUGAUCGUGAUGGAGGGACGCAGUAGGCUAAGAGAUGCCAGUUAAUGGAUUCUGGUCUAAGCAGUGAGGUGUGAGAUGUGUCAAAUGCAUUUCUCUUUAACAUUGAGCUGUGAUGGGGAAGCAACUACGGUUGCGAACUCUCUGAUGUCACACUGCCAAGAAAAGCUUCUAGCGUAAAGUCAUAUCUACCCGUACCGCAAACCGACACAGGUAGUCGAGGCGAGUAGCCUCAGGUGAUCGAGAGAACUCUCGUUAAGGAACUCGGCAAAAUAGCCCCGUAACUUCGGGAGAAGGGGUGCUGGUGUAAAAGCCAGCCGCAGUGAAUAGGCCCAAGCAACUGUUUAUCAAAAACACAGCUCUCUGCUAAACCGCAAGGUGAUGUAU
rnacentral:rRNA from 1 species